rnacentral:rRNA from 1 species
AUUGAACGCUGGCGGCAGGCCUAACACAUGCAAGUCGAACGAGUGGCGGACGGGUGAGUAAUGUCUGGGAAACUGCCUGAUGGAGGGGGCUAACUACUGGAAACGGUCGCUAAUACCGCAUACCAUCGGAUGUGCCCAGAUGGGAUUAGCUUGUUGGUGGGGUAACGGCUCACCAAGGCGACCAUCCCCAGCUGGUCUGAGAGGAUGACCAGCCACACUGGAACUGAGACACGGUCCAGACUCCUACGGGAGGCAGCAGUGGGGAAUAUUGCACAAUGGGCGCAAGCCUGAUGCAGCCAUGCCGCGUGUAUGAAGAAGGCCUUCGGGUUGUAAAGUACUUUCAGCGGGGAGGCGUUACCCGCAGAAGAAGCACCGGCUAACUCCGUGCCAGCAGCCGCGGUAAUAC